rnacentral:rRNA from 1 species
GACACUCGACAACGUGUAUCUCAGCUCUCACAUUGAUGAAGAACAUAGCAAAAUACGAUACUUCGUGUAAAUUGCAGAAUCUCGUAAACCAUUGAGUCUUUGAACAGAAGUUGCGCCCAAAGCCAUUAGGCUAAGGGCACGUCUGCGAAGGUGCCA